AUUGAACGCUGGCGGCAGGCUUAACACAUGCAAGUCGAGCGAGCGGCGGACGGGUGAGUAAUGUCUGGGAAACUGCCUGAUGAAGGGGGAUAACUACUGGAAACGGUAGCUAAUACCGCAUACCAUCAGAUGUGCCCAGAUGGGAUUAGCUAGUAGGUGUGGUAAUGGCUCACCUAGUCGACGAUCCCUCGCUGGUCUGAGAGGAUGACCAGCCACCCAUGAACUGAGAAACGGCCCAGACUCCUACGGGAGGCAGGAGUGGGGAACAUUGGACAAUGGGCGAAAGCCUAAAGCAGCAAGGCCGCGUGUGUGAAGAAGGCCUUCGGUUUGUAAAGCACUUUCAGCGAGGAGGCGUUACUCGCAGAAGAAGCACCGGCUAACUACGUGCCAGACGCCGCGGUAAUAC
rnacentral:rRNA from 1 species